UACGGGGGGAGCAAGCGUUGUUCGGAUUUACUGGGCGUAAAGGGCUCGUAGGUGGCCAACUAAGUCAGACGUGAAAUCCCUCGGCUUAACCGGGGAACUGCGUCUGAUACUGGAUGGCUUGAGUUUGGGAGAGGGACGCGGAAUUCCAGGUGUAGCGGUGAAAUGCGUAGAUAUCUGGAGGAACACCGGUGGCGAAGGCGGCGUCCUGGACCAACACUGACACUGAGGAGCGAAAGCCAGGGGAGCAAACGGG
rnacentral:rRNA from 1 species